rnacentral:rRNA from 1 species
AUGGCUGCUGCGCAUGUCUUCUUCUUCUUCUCCGUUCAGCCACUGCACCAUUCGGGUACACCGGUGGCUGGAAAUGGUGGCCGGAGUGGACGCCACCGUGCCUUCUUCCGCCCAUCAACGGUGAUAUGUCCCGGGCGGGAGCCUGCGUCACAUGUGCUGUCCGAUGAUUUUGACUUCGAGGAAAGCAUAACGAAUGUUCAAGCAUUGCUGCAUCACCAUCGGACGAGUCGACGAGGCUUAUUGACCACUGUUGAUCACCUCAAGCGCCUCUGCAUCGACCACUAUUUCCAAGACGAGAUCGACACCAUCAUGGACUCGUGUGCAGAUCUCAUCCAUAGUGAUGAUCUGCUUGAUGCAACCCUUUCCUUGAGGCUGAUGAGAGAAGCUGGAUAUUAUGUUUCGGCAGACGAUGUUCUUCGGAAGUUCAGUAACGAUAAUGGUGAUUUCAACCUUGGCCUCAGCAAAGACAUUAGAGGGUUGCUCAGCUUGCAAGACAUGUCACACCUCAACGUAGGAGAAUCAUCACUCUACAAGGCAAAUGAAUUCUCAAGCAAGCAUCUUAGAUUUGCAAUUAAGUAUCUGGAGCCAAACCUUGCAAGAUAUGUAAGGCAGUCACUAGACCAUCCCUAUCAUGUGAGCCUGAUGCAAUACAAGGCAAGGCACCAUCUGAGUUACCUUCAGAACAUGCCCACUAGCAACAUGGCAAUUGAGAAUUUGGCACUUGCAGAGUUUACCAUUAAGAAGUUGCAGCAUCAAAGAGAAAUGCAAGAGGUUAAGAGAUGGUGGAUGGAUCUAGGAUUGGCUCAAGAAAUUCCGGCCGCAAGGGACCAAGUUCUUAAAUGGUACAUGUGGCCCAUGACCGUCCUCGAGGGUUUCUCCUUCUCUAGAUAUCGGAUUGAGAUGACAAAGAUCAUAUCCAUGGUCUACAUUGUGGAUGACAUCUUUGAUAUUGUCGCGACACAAGAGGAGCUUUCCCUCUUUACUGAGGCGAUCAAAAUGUGGGAUCUUGCGGCUGUUGAUUCACUCCCGAGCUACAUGAUAUCAUGUUACAAGGCUCUUUACACUAUCACAAGUGAUAUCGCCGAUAUGGUCAGAAAAGAGCAUGGAUUGAGCCCUAUCAAUCAUCUCAAGAAAGCAUGGGCAACAUUGUUUGAUGGAUUCAUGAUCGAGGGAAAAUGGUUAUCUACUAAUCAGAUCCCUACAUCUGAGGACUAUCUAAGAAACGGGAUUGUCACUUCGGGAGCUCCACUUGUAUGCAUACAUCUUUUAUUCAUGUUGGGGCAUGAAUUACCAGAGGGCAAAAAUGACGACAUCCAUCGAAUCAUCUCCUGCCCUGCAAAGAUCAUGAGGCUCUGGGACGACAUGGGCAGUGCAAAGGAUGAAUCGCAAAAUGGGCUAGAUGGAUCAUACAAAGAGUUGUACCAAAGAGAAAAUCCUUGUGGUGACGCAGAGAAGCACAUGCUAGAGAUGAUUGGGAGUGAAUGGGAGUGUCUAAACAGGGAAUGCUUCUCUCGGACAAAGUCAACACUAUCGCAUAGCUUCAUCACAGCAUCACUAAACUUUGCGAGGAUGGUCCAUGUCAUGUACGGCUACGACAACGAGCAGAAGCUCCCCGUCCUUGAGGAUUAUACAAGGAUGUUGCUCUUCUAA